GGCCAAUCAGAAGCCAUCCUCUACAAUAAAGCCUGACUCUACUCAUCAUUCUGUGCCAGACCGUGAAGGAUCUACAUCUGGAUCCCGGCCGUUCGUGUCCACCUGCUCCCGCUGUUCUUGGAUCAAAGAACCCUGGCUGCAACAACUCACCUGGUCAGUCUCCCCCGUUUCCUGGACGCCGCAGCCUCCAGAACAGCUGCAUGCCACCCAGAGCUUCCCAGCGUCCAACUCCCCCUCAUCUAGGUCUACACCUGGUCCCCUUUCAGUCCAUUCACGCUGAACCUCAGCACGAGCAUUCCAGACUAAGUGAAAGUAGCAGUUCCUCCUGAAGGUCAGAGAUUGCAGCAUCUGAGGGCCUCUUCAAAAGAAGACGUAGUUGAUGAAGACGUUCUGGAGCAGGACCAGAAAGACCACGACCAAGCAGCCUUGAGAUCUUAGGCAGCGUCUCCCUCAGACCAAAGAACUACAGACUCUUCACAACCUGCUCAAACUCUUGGUACAGGACCUCACCACACGGGUCAAGAAGGUUUCUGUCUCAUUUCUACUCUGAAGCUCACCUUCUCCUGCUCAAACUGCUGACAAAUGUUUCUGCUGCUCUAAAGUCUGGUCUCCAGAACUUCCUAAAAACUCUCAAAGUCUCUUCUGCUGCAGGUUGCUUU
ensembl:lncRNA